rnacentral:lncRNA from 1 species
AAGUCUUCAAUCUUUUUAGAAGAUUUAGGUAUAAUUUUAUAUCUUAGUCACAUAAUUAUUAAUAUAUAAAGACCUACUUUUACUCCAUAGUCGUACAAUAAGGAGUAAGUAUGCUGAACUAAUAUUGAAUCCUUGUAUCCACAAUUUAAAAGUGCAUUCAUUGUUAAUAUGCAAUUGAGAUGAGUAUGAAACCAGGGACCGUGGG